GGGGCCUUGAAGGGAGACCGUUGAGCUGGGGCGUCCCUCGAGCUGAGCACCUCGCUAAAGUCCGGGAGAAGACCCUGAGGCGGGGUUCUGAGGAGGUUUUCAUGCUGGCUUCAGAGUUUGGCCGUGCUCCCUCAGCGUUCCUAAUUUCCCACUUUCUGACUCUCACCAUUUGCCACUCUUGUCUGUGAUUGAGACACCCGAGGCCCAUUCAGGAUGGAGAGUAAUUUUUUCUCUGUCUUAACUUGAAGUUUUAAAUAGACCACAGACGCCAAGUAUAUUUUGGUUCAGCUUUUAAAUAGAAGUCGCAGGCCAGCCUUCGUGCCAGCAGCGCCAUCGCUGGCAGCAUCCUCCUCCUCCCCUCACGCGGAGACUGACUUGGGGAGAGUCAGGAAACAUUUGAGAGAGCAGCUGCCGAGGUGGAGGCUGUGAUGUAUCUUGGAUGAAUCUCUGUGCAAACAGUUCUUUGGGUUCAAGACCUAGUACAGGGCGAUCCUUUUUGUUUUUUCUGUCUGAAUCAUUUUGGUGGAAUAAAUAGCAAAACAUUCCCACAAUAGCAGUUGGCAUUUUGUGUAGGACGCACCCCCCCAACAGGUGGAUUGUUUUAAGAGCCAACAAAUAACUGCCAUUGUGCUUCCAAAUCUGUUAUUUUCCCCCAAACACAGUCGUCCUUGUUAUAUGGAGAUGAAUGCCCAUUUGGGGGA